rnacentral:rRNA from 1 species
UACGGAGGGGGCUAGCGUUGUUCGGAAUCACUGGGCGUAAAGCGCGCGUAGGCGGACCAUUAAGUCGGGGGUGAAAUCCCGGGGCUCAACCCCGGAACGGCCUUCGAUACUGGCGGUCUGGAGGUCGAGAGAGGCGAGUUGAAUUCCGAGUGUAGAGGUGAAAUUCGUAGAUAUUCGGAGGAACACCAGUGGCGAAGGCGGCUCGCUGGCUCGAUUCUGACGCUGAGGCGCGAAAGCGUGGGGAGCAAACAGG